GUGUCAGCAGCCGCGGUAAUACCGGCAGCACGAGUGAUGACCGCUAUUAUUGGGCCUAAAGCGUCCGUAGCUGGCCACGCAAGUUCGUCGGGAAAUCUGCGCGCUCAACGCGCAGGCGUCCGGUGGAAACUGCAUGGCUUGGGACCGGAAGACCAGAGGGGUACGUCCGGGGUAGGAGUGAAAUCCCGUAAUCCUGGACGGACCACCGGUGGCGAAAGCGCCUCUGGAAGACGGAUCCGACGGUGGGGGACGAAAGCUCGGGUCACGAACCGG
rnacentral:rRNA from 1 species